rnacentral:rRNA from 1 species
GUGGGGAAUUUUGCGCAAUGGACGAAAGUCUGACGCAGCAACGCCGCGUGGAGGAUGAAGGCCUUCGGGUCGUAAACUCCUGUCAGGGGGGACGAAAAAAAUGACUGUACCCCUUGAGGAAGCCACGGCUAACUCCGUGCCAGCAGCCGCGGUAAUACGGAGGUGGCAAGCGUUGUUCGGAAUUACUGGGCGUAAAGGGCGCGUAGGCGGCUUGGCAAGUCAGAUGUGAAAGCCCCGGGCUUAACCCGGGAAUUGCAUCUGAAACUGCUUUGCUUGAGUCCUGGAGGGGGUAGUGGAAUUCCCAGUGUAGCGGUGAAAUGCGUAGAUAUUGGGAGGAACACCUGCGGCGAAGGCGGCUACCUGGACAGUGACUGACGCUGAUGCGCGAAAGCUAGGGGAGCAAACGGGAUUAGAAACCCGUGUAGUCC